UUUCAUGGCAGUACCAACAAUGAAAGACACCUGAUCCCUUCUCAUCUUGAAUGCUAAGCAGGAUCGGCCAUGGUUGGUAGUUGGAUGGGAGACCUCCAACGAAAACCAGGUGUUGUAAGCU
rnacentral:rRNA from 1 species